CCAGACAGCCAUGGAUUUGAUGAAAUAAUCCUCCUGUGCAAAACAUCGGGGUGGUGUUGGGUGGUCCAUCUCCUGGGAAAUCUGACUGCUGAACAAGCCAUUGGUUUUGCUCUAAAUCACGAUUAAUGGGAAUGUUGUGAAGCCUUGGUGUAAUUCGUUUGGAAUGCGAAUAACAAUAAUUACACAGUUAUUCCCCAUUACCAGGUCCUGUUUAGUGUCUCCAGCGUGGUGCGGGAUCUAAGACGAUUGGCCUAAUUUCACGAGGUUAUUGAGGGACUAAACCGUGUUGAACCGCGCAGUGACCUAAACCUCUGCUAAUCUGAGGUGUACCCUUACAUGAUCGUUGGUUAGUUUUAUUUCGUUUUUGUCGUAUAGAUCGAUCAAAUAGAUUUGCCAAUAACACCAAUCUUCUUUUUUUUUUUAUCUAUAUUUUCUUUUGUUUAGAAUAGAUUUGCUCAUAGCAUCAUUGCUCGCAAUAUGCACAUUCAUUGCAAUACUUUUUUUUUUUGAUCUCUCACAAAACUAGUGUUUAUGGUCGUACUCUAUAGGUGUGUCCUCGAUUACCAAGCCACAAGUGGUGUGCCCAGCCCACACUGUAAAAAGAGAGUGGUUGUUCAGUUGCAGAUGGUGUGAAAUGGGGGAUGGGGGUCAGUGAAAGUUUGAAAAAGCAUAAGAGGGCUGUUUCCAGCCCCUGUGCUAAGAUGUCUUCAACGCCUGCCUAAAAAAAAAACAGUUUUCAGAAAGUCUUGCAAGAGGUCUAUCUACUUGUAAAGGCAGUUUUGGAGUGGGUUGCCAUUGGAAGCUGCAUUUGUUGUCAGGUUGUUGGCUUUUGUGGUACAGGGUUGAUUGUAAAACAUGAUCAUAACCUCAGCUUCAGGUUACUUCAGCCCAGGCUGCAGCCAUACAUUGUGCUUGUGUGCUUUAAGUACUUCAAGCUUGUGCUGAUUUUCUCUCGUAUGCUUGUGUUCCUGGUGCUCCACCGGUAGGGCAAGGUGCCAACAACACCAAGGUGUAAGGUGGCGACAGUGGUACAGUGGUAGAGAAGUCGUUUAGUAAUCAGAAGGUUGCUAGUUCGAUUCCCUGUCGAAGCGUCCUUGAGCAAGACACUGAACCCCUAAUUGCUCCUGAUGUGCAGUGUGCCAUCAGUGUAAAAUGUGUAUACAUUGUAAGUCGCACAUAUGUAAGUCGCUUUGGAUAAAAGCGUCUGCUAAAUGACUAAAUGUAAAUGUAAAGGUCAUUGGUCCAAUGCCAUGGGAGCCAGUUCAAUUAGACAAUGUAAAUUAGACAAAGCCCUGACCCCUGAUGUAGAACUGGACUUUGGGGACAUAGAGUCAGGUCUGACCCACGGAGUUAGCUGUUAGUUAAUGGAGUCAGCUGUUGGAACUGGACUCGUGAUCUAGGACAUAGCUGGGUCGGGUCUGAGCCGUAAUGGAGUCAGCUGUGGGAACUGGACUCGUGAUCUAGGACAUAGCUGGGUCGGGUCUGAGCCGUAAUGGAGUCAACUGUUGGAACUGGGUUUUGGGAUCUGGGCCGUAACAGGGCCAUGGCAGAGCCACUAUCGGCUCGAUGAAUGGAAAGGAAACGUCUCAGUUGUAGCACUGGACUGGAAAAGAGCGGUGGUUUUCCACUCAGCGCAAGUGAACGUUUUUUAAAAGACUCGGCGACCGGCACUUUCUGCCGCCCGCGAUGACGAAACCCCACUGUCACCCCGCAGGCAUGAAAUACACCCCAGGAGGGAUAAAAACGGGCUGAAAGCAGCCCUUUGUCCCCGGGGCCCUUUUCUCAGUGAGGUCAGUUUCGCUUUUUUAUUUCUGGGAAAGUAUAAUUUGGGUCCGCUCGGCUGGCUUGGGUUUCAUCCGCGCUCCCAUUGGGCCGGGUCUGCAGUGAAUGCGCUAAGUGUUGGGUUACAGACCUACUUUUAAAACGGCUGUGAUUUCCACCAAGAAAAAAAAAAAGAAGAGAAAAGUCCGAGCGGAAGGUCUCAGCUACUUAAGAGUCGCUGAAAAAAACGAAAUUUGAAACUCAGUGUCUGUUCAUGAUGAUAAACUCGUUAAGAUGCCCAUGCAUAUUAAAUGGCAUCUCAUCUUCUUCAUACUCUCGAAGCACACAGAGGACGUUACGUGAAAGUUGAAAAUACUCUCUCAAAAGAAUCUCAGGGAAUCACCAAAUUGGGAAACAUCAAUACUAAGGCAAUGCUAACGCAACAUUAAGGUGGUGUUUAGGCAACUCUAACACAAUGUUAAGGCAACACUAAGGUGGUGUUUAUGCAACUCUAACACAAUGUUAAGGCAACAUUAAGGGAAGGUCAAGGCAGAAAUGGGGGCAAGCUUUUGCCAUGGCUCUCAUCUCUAUAACCAAGAGUGUCAGGUGCCACUAUGUGAAACAUUAGUCAAAAGUGAGGAAAUGUAACAUGCAACAUUAAGGCAACACUAAGGUGCAUCACUAAACAAACACUAAACCCAUACUAAGGCAACACUAAGGCAAUGAGAAGGUAACGUUAAGGCAACACUAAGGCAAUGCGAAGGUAACGUUAAGGCAACACUAAGGCAAUGCGAAGGUAACGUUAAGGCAACACUAAGGCAAUGCGAAGGUAACGUUAAGGCAACACUAAGGCAAUGUGAAGGUAACGUUAAGGCAACACUAAGGCAAUGCGAAGGUAACGUUAAGGCAGCUCGCCCUAUAACUGUUUUGGAGGCUGGUCUUCGCCCUGUCUCUCAUCUCCAUAAGCGAGAGGGCCUGGCGCCUGGACCUAAUUACAAAUUAAUCACAAGUAAGCGUCUAGACUGCAGUUAUGUCAGGAAAAGCCUCUCGCCUUAAAAGGAAGAGUAGCUGGCUUUCUCGGUUUGAGAAAGAAACCUUAGCAUACGCCAGAGCUGCCAGCUAGCAGGAAUGUCUUGAAAAGGGAAACUGACUGACGAUGUGCCAGGUCAGGCCUUGAUCCGCUCCAGGGUCAGUCUGCUAUCUCAGGUGGAUUAAACCAAAUUGUAUCUGUUUGACUUAAUAAUAGACAGAACUGCUCUGCAUUUGUGCAUUAGCAUACUGUAUAUAACAUAUGAUUAUCGAGCCCAUAUAUUAACUGUAAUCAUGGGUAUCUGUGCUGUUUGUAUAGAAUAUGCAGCCUACUAGAAAGUGAAGACUGCUAGUCAGCUUUUUUGUAAUCAUUUGAGAUCAUUUUUGUAACAUUAGGUAGUAUAUUAGUUUAGCAUACCAGUUAUAGCAGUUAUGUUAAACCAACAGACCAAACCCAUGUCCUUGCCUAUAUGCACACACAAAUGCGCACACACUCACUCACACCCACACACACGCGCACACCCACACACACACACACAAACACACACACACACACACACACACACACACACACACACACACACACACACCACCUAGAAAUGAACAUAUAAGAGACAGUUCUCACAGACACACAUAUACACACAAACACACACACCCCACCUAGAAAUGAACACAGAGGGAGGGACUGUUCAGAUUCCGAUUGGGGUAAUGUCCUGUCACAUGCGUUUAUGAUGCUCAGGGACAUGAGUAGAUCAUUCAGGACUGUUUUCAAGCCAUGUCUGUCUCACUUGGGAGAUAAGAAAUAUCGCAUCUUAAUCCAUCCAGACACUCUUAAUUUGAUUUCCCUGUGUCCCUGGAUGUAGGGGGGGAGGAAAUGAGGUCAUAGCACAAAUGUUUUCACAUGACUUGGCUCUAUUACCCCAGAGAUUUCUUACGGAACAUCAGUAGGUCAUAGAGUUCUGAUGUGGAACACUGCUUUGCAGUACUAGAAAACAUUGUAGCGUGCAGUAGCGUCCAAAGCCUCCAUAAACAAACAUGUGUCUCCUUCCAUAGACAUUACUUUUAUAUUGCACUAAUGGUAACACUAAAGUUCAACUCUCCCCCCAUAACCAUAUCGUAAAGGUUUUAUGGCAGAUGCCGUAUACUAUCAGGAACGUUUUGUGAUAGAUCUUUUAAGUGAUACAACAACAGUGUCAUGUGACCAUUCAUUGUCAAUUGUUAAAACUGUCAAAAAGACAGCUCCCGACAUCAUGUUUGACACCAUGACAUCUCACUAGCAUGUUGCAUAGGCUAUUACAGCAUAGAAAAAUGAGUGCUGUCAUGACAGUUACCCAUACUUGAUGCAUAAC
ensembl:lncRNA